rfam:Clostridium proteolyticum DSM 3090 genome assembly, contig: EJ39DRAFT_scaffold00011.11
GAACGCCUUAUGCCGUGAAAGUGGCACGUAGGGUGUGGACCGAGCGAAAUCUUUGUAAGCAUGUGAUGAUAUAUUUGUGUUUAUGCUGC